GAUGAAGAACGUAGCGAAAUGCGAUAAGUAAUGCGAAUUACAGAAUUCAGUGAGUCAUCGAAUCUUUGAACGCACAUUGCGCCCUGUGGUAUUCCGCAGGGCAUGCCUGUUCGAGCGUCAUUUCAACCCUCAAGCCUCGCUUGGUGUUGGGCCCUGCCCGCCGCGGCCGGCCCUAAAGAUAGUGGCGGCGCCGCCUGGCCCUCAGCGUAGUACAGCUCUCGCUCCAGGGUCCGGCGGCAGCCUGCCAGAACCCCCCAACUCUGUGGUUGACCUCGGAUCAGGUAGGGAUACCCGCUGAACUUAAGCAUAUCAAUAAGCGGAGGA
rnacentral:misc_RNA from 1 species